UCCCCAACUUCUAGGUGACAUGAGAUCGUCCUUGAGCCUCGUGUCGAAAGUCCUCUUUCCCUCUUGCGCAGCUUGCUCUUCUCGUUUUCCCUUGUCGUGCGGGACAGAAGCCCUACUGCCAAUCGCCGCCGCUGCCAAUGGCCGCGAUCAGCCUUAGGAGACUGGUUUCACCACCCUCGCUCGGAGCCCUUGGAUUCCUUUCCAACCGAGCUCUCGGAUCGGCGGCUUUGGCCGUUCAGUACGACUAUGAUGAUGACGAAGAUGAGUACGAGGCGUGCAGGCCUAGAGCCAUGGCCGAAUCGGCGGGUUGGGCGCCGGAACGUGGAGUUCAGUGGGUAAUGAUUGGGGAGUCGGGCGCCAAACGCCACGUGUUUGCCGAGAGGCUCUCCAAGCUUCUUGAAGUUCCCCAUAUAUCUAUGGGCAGUCUUCUUCGGCAGGAGCUGACCCCACGCUCUGCUCUCUACCAGCAGAUAGCGAAUGCCCUGAACGAAGGAAAGCUUGUUCCCGAGGAAAUAAUUUUCGGGUUACUGUCGAGAAGGCUUGAAGAAGGAUAUUCAACAGGUGAAACUGGCUUCAUCCUGGAUGGAAUUCCUCGUACAAGGAUUCAGGCUGAGAUUCUUGAUCAAAUUGUUCAUGUUGAUUUGGUUGUGAAUUUCAAAUGCUCGGAAGAAAACUCGGCGAAGAAAACUCAGGAGUAUAUUCGAAUGAGCUGCUGCGGGGCUUCAUCUGAGCAGUUGCAGGAUGAACUAUUAAAAUCCCGUUGCGGAAGUUCUCGUAAAGAAAAUUUCGGCAACCUUGGAGAACAGAGCAAGAUGUUGGAAGAUUACUACUGUAAGCAGAAGAAACUUAUUAAUUUUGAAGUAGCCGGUGGACCUGGAGAAAACUGGCAGGGGCUUCUGGCUGCAUUGCAUCUUAAGCACAUUAAUGCUACUAGUUCUACACAGAAGUUGACUGCUAAAUAGGUCAUCAAUCUUCCCACCCAGCAUUCAUAUUCCUUUGCGGCGUUCUAGUACUUGUGAAUAUGAGAGCCAGAGUUAUUCGGAAAAUUUUUAAAUAAUUUCCGGAAGUUUUGUUUUGUUUGUUCGUUUUUCUUUUCAAUUUUUGACAACCUGGAGAGUUUACCUUCGAUGUGUUGCCUCAAGUAAAGAAAGGCAGAAUACGGCCCUGUAUGACCACUAUUAUUUUACAAGAUCUGAACUGGUUUGUGCCGCUCUGCUUUCCCGCAACUUCCCUAUCCAGUUCCAGGAUGGAAUGACUUCACGCAGAAAUUCUAGUGCAACAAAAUGGCAGAACCAGUAUUUUUGCCCCCUUUUUAACUACUUUACGGAUCCAAUCUGCGGGGCUAUCUUCUGAUGUAGGUAUGGCAUGGCAUCCGGGGCUACUUGAUGCCACUACAUCUUUCAGUCAGGCAGAGGCCAAGGAGGAUAUCAUAUCACCAAGCAUCCUCAAUCAGGUUGGUGGGAAAGCGCUUAAAAUUAUAUGCAUAGAAAAUAUUUAGCUCAGGCGUACCUUGGGACAUCAUUUCCACACGCUUUUGCAACAAGUACUAGUCCAGAAACAGCACUUUUAGCAGCUCCAGCCCUUCUUGAUCGAAGAUUUUCUUUACAAGCAUGAAGAUAGAGCCUAGAAAGGCGCCGAGCUGGGGCAUAUAUCUUACUCAUGGAGCUUCCGUGCUCAGCAACUACAGAAUAUAGAGCAACCUCUAUAGUUGCAGCUUCUCUUAACUCUCCUUCAAGCAUCUUUAUCUUGCUUUCCAAAAGAUUGAUUUUGCGGUCUGAAAUUGAACUCCUUACUUCCUUUGGAUAAACCUUGGCAUCUUUUUUGUCACUGACUCUGAUAUUCCCUCCAUUAUUUUGCACAUCUCCAACCAUGCCAGCAUCCUUUACUUCAUCAUGAUGAUUACUGCCAGAACCAUCCUUGUUUGCAGUGCCAGGAUUCGUUCCCACAUAGUGAUUAUUAUCUGGAGAUGCUGUGUUGCAAGGAUAACCAUGAGAAGUGCAUUCAUUGCGGUUUAAUUGAGCAUCAGUAGUUAUAGUUCUACUUGUAUCAGCGUUUAUUUGAACAUGCUGAUUCAAAUGCUCGUAGUAACUGCUGCCAGUCUUGGUCCUAGGAUUUUCAUUUAAGUUGUCAAGUGCUAAAGAUGGGGAAGAACGAUGAACGAUUGAUGAGACAACAUGCUUUUGGGAUGUCACUGAACUAUGAUGAGAACUAAUAGAAGUUUGACCAUUUAGUGGACUCCCAAGAUCAGAUGAUACAUCUACUGAUGAUGUGUAUGGCGAACUCCUCUCCAGCUUCUUAUAUGUAUCUUGCGGUAUUAUAUUCAAUUUUUCAAUCCUUUUUUCUGAA